rnacentral:misc_RNA from 1 species
UACGGAGGGUGCAAGCGUUGUCCGGAUUUAUUGGGUUUAAAGGGUACGUAGGCGGAUUUUUAAGUCCGUGGUGAAAGCCUGCAGCUUAACUGUAGAACUGCCAUGGAUACUGGGAAUCUUGAAUUCAGUUGAGGUAAGCGGAAUUUAUGAUGUAGCGGUGAAAUGCAUAGAUAUCAUAAAGAACACCUAUUGCGAAGGCAGCUUGCUGGACUUGAAUUGACGCUGAGGUACGAAAGCGUGGGGAGCGAACAGG